UCUGCACUAGAUCCUAUCCAUUUUAUUUUCCAUUAUUUCUCUCCCUUGUCCAAAAUCACAUGCCAGCAAUCCUAGUAUGUGAACUCAAACCCUGAGGCCCUUCCUAGAAUGGCCGCUGGAAGCCUCCUAAAUUAAACAGAGUAUGGAUUAGGGCGGCGUCGCUAAUUCCAGGGAUAUGAGCAUAACCACCAGCAAGAGCACACCGUACACACUGCAACAGAACCAAAAUGUAUGCUAAUCCCACACCUGCCCAAUAAU
rnacentral:misc_RNA from 1 species